AACCUUUACAAUGCACUAACGUGUGAUAAGGGAACCCAAAGUGCUUAGCUUAGCUAGGCUUUUGCCAAGAGUAAAUAUCUUGGAGAAUAAGUGGUGGGUAAGACUGGUGCCAGCCGCCGCGGUAACACCAGCGCCACGAGUGGUGACUAUGUUUAUUGGGCCUAAAGCGUCCGUAGCCUGUCUAGUAAAUUUCUUGUGAAACUGUUAAGCUCAACUUAGCAACGUGCAGGAAAGACUGCUAGACUUGGGACUGGGAGGAGUUAGGAGUAUACUUGGGGUAGCGGUAAAAUGUUAUAAUCCCAAGGAGACUACCUGUGGCGAAAGCGCCUAACUAGAACAGUUCCGACGGUGAGGGACGAAAGCCAGGGGAGCAAACCGG
rnacentral:rRNA from 1 species